GCAUAUCAAUAAGCGGAGGAAAAGAAACUAACAAGGAUUCCCCUAGUAACUGCGAGUGAAGCGGGAAAAGCUCAAAUUUAAAAUCUGGCAGUCUUUGAUUGUCCGAGUUGUAUUCUAGAGAAGUGUUUUCCGCGUUGGACCGUGUACAAGUCUCUUGGAACAGAGCGUCAUAGAGGGUGAGAAUCCCGUCUUUGACACGGACUACCAAUGCUUUGUGAUGCGCUCUCAAAGAGUCGAGUUGUUUGGGAAUGCAGCUCAAAAUGGGUGGUAAAUUCCAUCUAAAGCUAAAUAUUGGCGAGAGACCGAUAGCGAACAAGUACCGUGAGGGAAAGAUGAAAAGCACUUUGGAAAGAGAGUUAAACAGUACGUGAAAUUGUUGAAAGGGAAACGCUUGAAGUCAGUCGCGUUAGUCAGAACUCAGCCUUGCUUUUGCUUGGUGCACUUUCUGAUUGACGGGCCAGCAUCAGUUUUGACUGCAGGAGAAAGGUUAGAGGAAUGUGGCAUCUUCGGAUGUGUUAUAGCCUCUGAUUGUAUACUGUGAUUGGGACUGAGGAACUCAGCACGCGCAAGCUGUGCUUAGGAUGCUGGCGUAAUGGCUUUAAACGACCCGUCUUGAAACACGGACCAAGGAGUCUAACAUGCCUGCGAGUAUUUGGGUGGUAAACCCGAGUGCGUAAUGAAAGUGAAAGUUGGGAUCUCUGUCGUGGAGAGCACCGACGCCCGGACCAGACCUUCUGUGACGGAUCUGCGGUAGAGCAUGUAUGUUGGGACCCGAAAGAUGGUGAACUAUGCCUGAAUAGGGUGAAGCCAGAGGAAACUCUGGUGGAGGCUCGUAGCGAUUCUGACGUGCAAAUCGAUCGUCAAAUUUGGGUAUAGGGGCGAAAGACUAAUCGAACCAUCUAGUAGCU
rnacentral:rRNA from 1 species